CAACUGUCAUAAGUACUUGCCAGUUGCCAAGCAUCCGAAUUUUGAUCAUGUGACCACGGGGAAACUACAACGGUCGUAAAUGUG